GUGCCAGCAGCCGCGGUAAUACGUAGGGUGCGAGCGUUGUCCGGAAUUAUUGGGCGUAAAGAGCUUGUAGGCGGUCUGUCGCGUCUGCUGUGAAAAUCCGGGGCUCAACCCCGGACUUGCAGUGGGUACGGGCAGACUAGAGUGUGGUAGGGGAGACUGGAAUUCCUGGUGUAGCGGUGAAAUGCGCAGAUAUCAGGAGGAACACCGAUGGCGAAGGCAGGUCUCUGGGCCACUACUGACGCUGAGAAGCGAAAGCAUGGGGAGCGAACAGGAUUAGAUACCCUGGUAGUCC
rnacentral:rRNA from 1 species